ACUCAAUAGAUACCCCGGUAGUCCUGGCAGUAAACGGUGCACGUUUGGUGUGGGCGCAAUCGACCGCGUCCGCGCCGUAGCUAAACGCGUUAAGCGUGCCGCCUGGGAAGUACGGUCGCAAGAUUAAAACUCAAAGAAAUUGACGGGGACCCGCACAAGCGGUGGAGUAUGUGGCUUAAAUUCGAUGCAACGCGAAGAACCUUACCUGGUCUUGACAUGCAUUGUGUCUCCGCUGAAAGGCGGAUAGGGUAGCAAUACCCGCUUUGCACAGGUGCUGCAUGGCUGUCGUCAGCUCGUGUCGUGAGAUGUUGGGUUUAAGUCCCGCAACGAGCGCAACCCCUGUGAUUUGUUGCCACCCGGUUUACCGGCGCACUCGAAUCAGACUGCCUCGAUCAACGAGGUGGAA
rnacentral:rRNA from 1 species